GGUGCCCACAUCCAAGAUGGCGCCCCCAGGAGCUGGGAGCGGGUGACCGGCGGCAGGGAAGCGGCCUGGGUUGGCCCUCCGAUUGCGGGGUCCUGGGGGCAUCUCGCCGGGUACCCCCCUGGCCCGCCUACAAGGCCUUCCCCGGCCAGAGCAAUGGCCGCCGAGAACAGCAAGCAGUUUUGGAAGAGGAGCGCCAAGCUGCCGGGGAGCAUCCAGCCCGUGUAUGGAGCACAGCACCCACCUCUGGAUCCUCGGCUCACCAAAAACUUCAUCAAAGAACGCUCCAAAGUCAACACAGUUCCGUUGAAGAAUAAGAAGGCCUCCAGCUUCCAUGAGUUUGCCCGGAACACCAGUGAUGCUUGGGACAUUGGCGAUGACGAGGAAGAGGACUUUUCCUCCCCUUCUUUCCAAACUCUAAACUCGAAAGUUGCUCUGGCAACUGCAGCCCAAGUCCUGGAAAACCACAGCAAGCUGAGGGUGAAGCCAGAGCGCUCCCAGUCGACAACAUCCGAUGUUCCCGCCAGCUACAAGGUCAUCAAGUCCAGCAGUGACGCUCAGCUGUCCAGAAAUUCCAGUGAUACAUGCCUGAGGAACCCACUGCACAAACAGCAGUCCCUCCCUCUCCGACCCAUCAUUCCCCUGGUUGCCCGCAUCUCUGACCAGAAUGCGUCUGGGGCGCCCCCGAUGACUGUUCGGGAGAAAACCCGCCUAGAAAAAUUUCGGCAGCUUCUCUCCAGCCACAACACUGACUUAGAUGAACUGAGGAAGUGUAGCUGGCCAGGGGUUCCCAGGGAGGUUCGACCUGUAACCUGGAGACUCCUGUCGGGCUAUCUCCCCGCAAACACCGAGAGGAGGAAGUUGACCCUGCAGCGCAAGCGGGAGGAAUAUUUUGGCUUCAUUGAGCAGUAUUAUGACUCUCGAAAUGAGGAACAUCACCAGGAUACCUACCGACAGAUUCACAUUGACAUUCCAAGGACGAAUCCACUCAUUCCGUUGUUCCAGCAGCCACUAGUACAGGAGAUCUUCGAAAGAAUUUUGUUUAUUUGGGCCAUCCGACACCCUGCCAGUGGGUAUGUCCAGGGAAUUAAUGACCUGGUCACUCCGUUCUUUGUCGUCUUCCUCUCAGAAUAUGUGGAAGAAGAUGUGGAGAACUUUGAUGUGACCAACUUGUCUCAGGACAUGCUUCGAAGCAUUGAAGCUGACAGCUUUUGGUGCAUGAGCAAGCUGCUAGAUGGGAUCCAGGAUAACUAUACCUUUGCACAACCAGGGAUCCAGAAGAAGGUCAAGGCGCUAGAAGAGCUUGUCAGCCGGAUUGAUGAGCAGGUACAUAAUCACUUCAGGAGGUACGAGGUCGAAUACCUACAGUUUGCCUUCCGCUGGAUGAACAACCUGCUCAUGCGGGAGCUUCCCCUUCGCUGCACCAUCCGCCUGUGGGACACGUACCAGUCUGAACCAGAAGGGUUCUCCCACUUCCAUCUCUACGUGUGUGCAGCCUUCUUAAUCAAGUGGAGAAAAGAGAUCUUGGAUGAGGAGGACUUCCAGGGUCUCCUAAUGCUGCUACAAAACUUACCUACGAUACACUGGGGCAACGAAGAGAUCGGGCUGCUUCUCGCCGAGGCCUACAGACUGAAGUACAUGUUUGCCGAUGCCCCUAACCACUACCGCCGAUAGGUGCUGUCUCCCCAGGGGGACCCAGACUGUCCCCAUCUCUGAUGGCAAUCUGAUCACUGUGGCCACCGUGCGAGCCGUGGACUCCGGCCAGGAACCACUCCUGCUGUAAAAAGCUCCCAUCCGCCGCCCAGGUCUUAACUUUUCGGCGUGCCUGUCCACCACUCCAUGUCUCUGGAUGUGUUUCUCGGACCACUGUCAGUAUUCCGUGAUGCGUGGAUGGGCCCAGCUCUGGGAGACGACUGGAAAGGAGGUCCUUGUGGAGCAUCUGCCCCACUCCUUCCCCGCGUUGGGUAGACAGAACCCCCCACCUGUCCCCCAGAGAGCCUCCCAGAGAGGUACCCACAGAGGCGGAAGCCCUCCUGCAUGUUUUCAGCCCCUCCCUUUCCCCAGGAGGCUGGGGGAGAUCUUUUGUUUUUUUCAUUUUUUCCUCCGGGCAGCAUCCUAUUCAAGACAGAAGCUGUGACUGAUUCAUCAGUGCCAAGGAAAGGGGUUUUCUGCGUCUCCCUGGGGUUUGGGGCUCUUCUCAAAGAGAGGCAUCCAGUGUCCCCGGCUGUCACCAUCAUACCCCUCACAGCUCAUGAGAGGGGGGCGCAUGUUUGAUUUUGGGAGUUCCAUAGCAGAGAGGUGGCAGGGGCGGGGGCAGGAGGAAUGGUGGCGAGCAGCUGUCCUUCUGGGAAGCCGGUCAGUGUCCCUGGUGGGUGACACCCUUGAGUCUGCCAGUGAAGCCCCACCAUGCUGGCACGUUCCAUUUCUCAUCUGGAGCUGUUUCUCAGGCAUUCUUCCUAACCCACCCCCUACCCCUUCAGUGUGCCUCAAUAGUUUCCUUCACAGAGCGAGAGGGUUGUGACCCUCCCCUCACCUGGACUAAUUAAAGAAAGACACUCGUGUUCCCAAAUGGUGGUUUUAUUUUUUUAGUUUUUAUGUUUGUAUGGAAAUUGUGGAUAAAGUGAAAGGAUUGUAAAUAAAUAGUGUAUUUCCUCCUCCACUGC